AUUGAACGCUGGCGGCAGGCUUAACACAUGCAAGUCGAACGGAACCUUCGGGUUUAGUGGCGAACGGGUGAGUAAUACCUAGGAAUCUGCCUAUUAGUGGGGGAUAACGAAUCGAAAGGUUCGCUAAUACCGCAUACGUCCUACGGGAGAAAGGGGGGAGUCUUCGGACCUCUCGCUAAUAGAUGAGCCUAGGCCGGAUUAGCUAGUUGGUAGGGUAAAGGCCUACCAAGGCGACGAUCUGUAGCUGGUCUGAGAGGAUGGCCAGCCACACUGGAACUGAGACACGGUCCAGACUCCUACGGGAGGCAGCAGUGGGGAAUAUUGGACAAUGGGGGCGAACCCUGAUCCAGCCAUGCCGCGUGUGUGAGAAGGCCUUCGGUUGUAAGACACUUAA
rnacentral:rRNA from 1 species